UCCCAUUAUAAACCAAUGGGGAUUUUUAAAAAUUUAAACAUUCAUAUAAAAUUCAAAAAUCAAUAUUUCUCAAUUCUUUGAACAAACUUGGUUGACCUGACCCCAAAGAUGGUCCACAAGAAAUAUCAAGUCAUUCUGACCGACGGUUUUGAGAAGAAGAUUCUUUAAUAAUUGUUAACAGAUGGCAGAUGGUCGACACUGGUACCAAACAUCCAUCGAACCAUCGGACGAAAAAGUAAAAAACAACCACAGAUUUUGUUGUUAAGAUGGUUCAGAUACAAAAUGGUGGAAAUGCGGGUUAGUGGUGCCCCAAAACAGAGCUAAUGUGUUGAAACAGGAGCAGCCUUCAGCAAAAAGUCACAAUUUAAAUGAAUUUAGCGUCAACCUAAAGUUUGGAGUCAGUCCUGGUUUGUUUUGGUUAAAACCAGCCUCGCCCCAAAUCUGGAUCAAACAAAGCCAUAAUCGCAACAUUCACCAAACUUUUCCAACACUUUCCCGCCCUCUUCUGUGUUUGUUUGUGUGUUGUUUGUUUCAUGCCUUGUCGACUGUAUGUACAUCGAGCACUUUAUGGCAUCGUGUAGUCAAAGGGGGCGCUAGUGUUCGCUGUGAUUUCUGUCUUUAUUUUUUUUUCGUAUUCACUGUAACUUCAAACCGAGUGAUGCACUGAUCCACACAUUCUGCAUAAAAACACAUUUCAUGGACAUUUUGAUCGCUACAGAUUAUUUGUGCCUUGGCCUUUUACAGUUUUACAGAUUUUUUUUAAUGUGAUAUUUUCUCUUUUUAAUAAAGUCAUGCUUUUGUUGCCGUGGCUACGGAAACGAACCACAAAGCUGUCGGUAAAAUCUGCGUAAACGACGACUGCAUUUACAACAUCUGACACAUUCCACUUUUGGCAUACUUACUUUUUUAAAAAUACUUACAUUUUUAUUGAUAUUUUCAACAUUUAUUAACGACAGUGUUUGGGAAUCCCAUAAUAGUCUCCUCAUCUAUUCUUUACUUUUUCAGUUCUUCCGUUGUUUUGUUUUCGGAUUCUGAAUAAAGUCCAUUUUCCUCAUUUUUCUUCAAACUGUGCCUCUUGUCAUCUCCGAUGGUGAGUCAACUUUCCCAUUAUGCAGAUUUCUUCUAUAAUCUUCAUCCUUUUCCUUAAUUUAAUUAAAAUGACAAAGAUAAAGUACCGUGUAGUUUGUUAGGACAUCGUAUCCCAAUAGCUUCUUAUAUUCACAUAUUUUCCGUAUUUUAAUGGAACUAUUCUGAGGCUUUAGGCUCCAAACGAACAGAUGAAACUGAUCCAGAUCCAGGUUAUUGACAAAGUGAAUAGAAUGUUUGUUUCUUUAUUAUUUAUUCAUUCUAUUAUCGGUCUGGAUGAUUAUGUUAUCUAGAAAGUCGUACAAUGUCACAUUUAGCAGAAACGACAUCCAGUUUUGCUUAAAAACAGCAGAACAAACAAAACUAAUCACUCACGCUACAGAUAAAAACAAUUUUAGCCACAUCAGUAGCUGAUCACAGUGUUAGCUAACUGCAGUCUUACUUUUGAGCUAACCCCGCCUUCGCACAUAGGUAGCUGGGAUUGGCUCCAGCACCCCCCCACCCACCCACCUCCAGACCCUAGUAAGGGGAAAGCAGUUCAGAAGACGACUGACAUUUGAGCUAAUGGCAACAUUAGCUAACCACAACAUUAGCUAAUCAAAGCUAUUCUGAUUAAUGCCAGAGUAUGUUUGAAUUACCCACAACAUUAGAUGACCACAGUGUUAGCUAACCAUAAUUUUACUAAAGACCGAAUACCUUUGAGCUAACCACAACAUUAGCUAACUGCAGCAUUAGCUAAUCAAAGGUAUUCUGACUGAAAACAGUCUAUAUUUUAUUAUUUUAUUCAUUUUAUUGUUACUUUUUUUAUCAGUCUUUUCUAUUCUAUUCUUUGAACUAACAUUAAUGUUAGCUAACAGAAUUAGACCAAAUACUUUUAGCUAACGCUUUAGUUAGUAAAUGUUGUGGUUAGCUCAAUCAAACGUAUUCUGACUGAAAACAGAGUAUAUUUUAUUAUUUUAUUCAUCUUAUUAUUAUGUUAUUUUCCUACCACAAUGAUAAUAAAGUCAAUUUUAUCCUAUUCUUUGAACUAACAUUAAUGUUAGCUAACUACAGCAUUAGCUAACCAUGACUAAAAACUACAAAUCUUUGCGCUAACAAUAGCUUUAUCGAAUCACGUUACUAAAGACAGAAUACAUUUGCGCUAAGUACUAUACUUGCUAGCUAUUGUAGCUAGCUAACAGGUUUAUUUAGCAAAACCCUAUUGAUAUUAACAUGCUAAUACUCACUGGUUUGAAUUUGUCAGACAUUAGUGUAUGUCCUUUUUUUUAGAUUGCUUAAAAUAUAUAUAUUUU